rnacentral:pre_miRNA from 1 species
CCUCUAGAAGGAAGCACUUUCUGUUGUUUGAAAGAAAAGAAAGUGCAUCAUUUUAGAGGAU